ensembl:lncRNA novel transcript
UUUUUCUCAUUGUGUGUUCUUAACACCUUUGCCAAAAAUCAUUUGACUAUGAAUGUGUGGAUUUAUUUCUGGGCUCUAUAUUUUGUUCUGUUGGUCUGUGUGUCUGUGUUUAUGUCACUACCAUGCUUUUAUGGUUGAAGCUUUGUAGUAGAUUUUAAAGUCAGGGAGUGUGAUGCCUCCAGCUUUGUUCUUUUUGCUCAAUGUCUUUUUUGGGCUAUUCAGGGUUUUUUUGUGGUUCUGCAUGAUUUUUAGGAUUUUUUUCUACUUCUGUGAAAAAUGUCACUGGAAUUUUGGCAGUGCCUCUCCGCAAGAGGCUCUGGGUCUGUGUUGCUGAAUUGGCCUGUGUCCUCAAAGCACGUUCCAGCUUUCAAGGGGAAAAUGACAAGUGGAAGAUGAGCAAUGGACUGAAUUGCCUAAGCUCGAGCUGAGCUUUUGCUCACCGUCCACCACUGCUGUUGGCCGCCAUCGCACACCUGCCACUGACUUCCACCCCUCUGGAUCCGGCUGGGUGUCUGCUGCACUCCUGAUCCAGCGAGGCGCCCACUGCCACUCCCAGUUGGGCUAAAGGCUCGCCAUUGUUCCUGCACAGCUAAGUGCCCGGGUUCAUCCUAAUCAAGCUGAACACUAGUUGCUGGGUUCUACGGUUCUCUUCUGUGACCCAUGGCUUCUAAUCAAGCUGUAACACUCACCACAUAGGCCCAAGGUUUCAUUCCUUGGAAUCUGUGAGGCCAGGAACCCCAGAGAGUUGGAGGAAAUGCAGAGAAUUACAGAGAAAUACAGAGGCUUACAACAUGGAGAAUGGAGAGCAAAUUCCAUCUAAUUCUUCAAGGUCCAGAUUACCUGCAACCAUAAAUUUAGGAACUAAAGAUAACACAGCAAUAGAAAACUAGUACACCGGAGGAGGAGCCAAGAUGGCCGAAUAGGAACAGCUCCGGUCAACAGCUCCCAGCGUGAGCGACGCAGAAGACGGGUGAUUUCUGCAUUUCCAUCUGAGAUCCAUGCAUCAAGAAGAGCUACAUCCAAGGAAACUCAUCCAUGCCUGGACUUAAUUUAUAUAAUGAAAUUCUGAACUUUCAAUAGAUGCUGUAAUAGGAUGAGAGUUUUGGAGAUCUUGGGAGGGAAUGAAUGUGUUUUGCAUGGGGAAGGGACAUGAAUCACUGAAGCCCAGAUGAUGGACAAUGGCUGACAGACUCUAAAAAUGGCCCCAUGAUCUCCACCUCCUGGUAUCCAUACCUCUACAAUCCCUUCCCCUUAUUCAAUAGAGUACAAAAGAAGGAUAGGAUUUCACUUCUGUUAUUACAUUACAUACAACUGUAGUACCUGUCUUGCUGGAAGACUUCCCCUUUCCUGGCUUUAAAGAAAAAAGUUACAAAUUGUGAACAGCUGUCCCCUGUAGAAGCCAUGUUACAAUGAACUGAGGAAAGCCACCGGCCAACAUCCAGCAAGAAUCUGAGGCCCUCAGUCCGCAUUCCUCAAGAAACUGAAUGCUGCUGACAAAAAUACAAGAGGAAGUGGAUCCAUCCCCAAUCAAGCCUCCAGAAAAGAACACGGUCUUGGCCAAAACCUUGAUGGUAACCUUGGAGAAGACUCAGCUAAGCUGUGCCUGGAUUUCUGACUCACUGAAACUGUGGGAUAAUAAAUGUGUGUUAUUUUCAGCCAAUAAAUUUGCAGUAAUGUUAUUAUGCAGCAAAAGUUAACUAAUUUAUUAUCUUUCAGUACCUUAUCCUUGAUUGAUGUUUGUUCUGUAUAAAAUUGCAUACUUAAAAUAUAUAAUUUUUACUCAAAAUUUUGAAAAAUAAUAGUAU